GAUGAACGCUGGCGGCGUGCCUAAUACAUGCCAGUCGAGCGAACAGACGAGGAGCUUGCUCCUCUGACGUUAGCGGCGGACGGGGGAGUAACACGUGGAUAACCUACCUAUAAGACUGGGAUAACUUCGGGAAACCGGAGCUAAUACCGGAUAAUAUAUUGAACCGCAUGGUUCAAUAGUGAAAGACGGUUUUGCUGUCACUUAUAGAUGGAUCCGCGCCGCAUUAGCUAGUUGGUAAGGUAACGGCUUACCAAGGCAACGAUGCGUAGCCGACCUGAGAGGGUGAUCGGCCACACUGGAACUGAGACACGGUCCAGACUCCUACGGGAGGCAGCAGUAGGGAAUCUUCCGCAAUGGGCGAAAGCUUGACGGAGCAACGCCGCGUGAGUGAUGAAGGUCUUCGGAUCGUAAAACUCUGUUAUUAGGGAAGAACAAAUGUGUAAGUAACUAUGCACGUCUUGACGGUACCUAAUCAGAAAGCCACGGCUAACUACGUG
rnacentral:rRNA from 1 species